UACGUAGGGGGCAAGCGUUGUCCGGAAUCAUUGGGCGUAAAGCGCGCGUAGGCGGCCCGGUAAGUCCGCUCUGAAAGUCCAGGGCUCAACCCUGGAAAGCGGGUGGAUACUGCCGGGCUAGAAUCCGGAAGAGGCGAGUGGAAUUCCUGGUGUAGCGGUGGAAUGCGCAGAUAUCAGGAGGAACACCUGUGGUGUAGACGGCUUUCUGGACCAUAGCUGACGCUGAGACACGAAAGCGUGGGUAGCAAACAGG
rnacentral:rRNA from 1 species